rnacentral:rRNA from 1 species
CAGUCGCCGCGGGAAUACAGAGGGUGCAAGCGUUAAUCGGAAUUACUGGGCGUAAAGCGCGCGUAGGUGGUUCGCCAAGUUGGAUGUGAAAUCCCCGGGCUCAACCUGGGAACUGCAUCCAAAACUGGCGAGCUAGAGUAUGGUAGAGGGUGGUGGAAUUUCCUGUGUAGCGGUGAAAUGCGUAGAUAUAGGGAGGAACAUCAGUGGCGAAGGCGACCACCUGGACUGAUACUGACACUGAGGUGCGAAAGCGUGGGGAGCAAACAGGAUUAGAUACCCCAGUAGUCCCUGUCUCUUAUCC